rnacentral:rRNA from 1 species
AUUGAACGCUGGCGGCAUGCUUUACACAUGCAAGUCGGACGGCAGCACAGAGAAGCUUGCUUCUUGGGUGGCGAGUGGCGAACGGGUGAGUAACAUAUCGGAACGUACCGAGCAGUGGGGGAUAACUAAUCGAAAGAUUAGCUAAUACCGCAUAUUUUCUGAGGAAGAAAGCAGGGGACCUUUGGGCCUUGCGCUGUUUGAGCGGCCGAUAUCUGAUUAGCUAGUUGGUGGGGUAAAGGUCUACCAAGGCGACGAUCAGUAGCGGGUCUGAGAGGAUGAUCCGCCACACUGGAACUGAGACACGGCCCAGACUCCUACGGGAGGCAGCAGUGGGGAAUUUUGGACAAUGGGCGCAAGCCUGAUCCAGCCAUGCCGCGUGUCUGAAGAAGGCCUUCGGGUUGUAAAGGACUUUUGUCAGGGAAGAAAAGGGCGGGGUUAAUACCCCUGUCUGAUGACGGUACCUGAAGAAUAAGCACCGGCUAACUACGUG